UUAAGCGACUAAGCGUACACGGUGGAUGCCCUGGCAGUCAGAGGCGAUGAAGGACGUGCUAAUCUGCGAAAAGCGCCGGCGAGGUGAUAUGAACCUUUGACCCGGCGAUGUCCGAAUGGGGAAACCCAGUGUGUUCCGACACACUAUCGUUAACUGAAUACAUAGGUUAACGAGGCGAACCGGGGGAACUGAAACAUCUAAGUACCCCGAGGAAAAGAAAUCAACCGAGAUUCCCCCAGUAGCGGCGAGCGAACGGGGAGGAGCCCAGAGUCUGAAUCAGUUUGUGUGUUAGUGGAAGCGUCUGGAAAGUCGCACGAUACAGGGUGAAAGUCCCGUACACGAAAAUGCACAGGCUGUGAACUCGAAGAGUAGGGCGGGACACGUGGUAUCCUGUCUGAAUAUGGGGGGACCAUCCUCCAAGGCUAAAUACUCCUGACUGACCGAUAGUGAACCAGUACCGUGAGGGAAAGGCGAAAAGAACCCCGGCGAGGGGAGUGAAAAAGAACCUGAAACCGUGUACGUACAAGCAGUGGGAGCACCCUUCGGGGUGUGACUGCGUACCUUUUGUAUAAUGGGUCAGCGACUUAUAUUCUGUAGCAAGGUUAACCGAAUAGGGGAGCCGAAGGGAAACCGAGUCUUAACUGGGCGUUAAGUUGCAGGGUAUAGACCCGAAACCCGGUGAUCUAGCCAUGGGCAGGUUGAAGGUUGGGUAACACUAACUGGAGGACCGAACCGACUAAUGUUGAAAAAUUAGCGGAUGACCUGUGGCUGGGGGUGAAAGGCCAAUCAAACCGGGAGAUAGCUGGUUCUCCCCGAAAGCUAUUUAGGUAGCGCCUCGUGAACUCAUCUUCGGGGGUAGAGCACUGUUUCGGCUAGGGGGUCAUCCCGACUUACCAACCCGAUGCAAACUGCGAAUACCGAAGAAUGUUAUCACGGGAGACACACGGCGGGUGCUAACGUCCGUCGUGAAGAGGGAAACAACCCAGACCGCCAGCUAAGGUCCCAAAGUCAUGGUUAAGUGGGAAACGAUGUGGGAAGGCCCAGACAGCCAGGAUGUUGGCUUAGAAGCAGCCAUCAUUUAAAGAAAGCGUAAUAGCUCACUGGUCGAGUCGGCCUGCGCGGAAGAUGUAACGGGGCUAAACCAUGCACCGAAGCUGCGGCAGCGACGCUUAGGCGUUGUUGGGUAGGGGAGCGUUCUGUAAGCCGUCGAAGGUGUGCUGUGAGGCAUGCUGGAGGUAUCAGAAGUGCGAAUGCUGACAUAAGUAACGAUAAAGCGGGUGAAAAGCCCGCUCGCCGGAAGACCAAGGGUUCCUGUCCAACGUUAAUCGGGGCAGGGUGAGUCGACCCCUAAGGCGAGGCCGAAAGGCGUAGUCGAUGGGAAACAGGUUAAUAUUCCUGUACUUGGUGUUACUGCGAAGGGGGGACGGAGAAGGCUAUGUUAGCCGGGCGACGGUUGUCCCGGUUUAAGCAUGUAGGCGGAGGUUCCAGGUAAAUCCGGUACCUUUUAACGCUGAGGUGUGAUGACGAGGCACUACGGUGCUGAAGUAACAAAUGCCCUGCUUCCAGGAAAAGCCUCUAAGCAUCAGGUAACACGAAAUCGUACCCCAAACCGACACAGGUGGUCAGGUAGAGAAUACCAAGGCGCUUGAGAGAACUCGGGUGAAGGAACUAGGCAAAAUGGUGCCGUAACUUCGGGAGAAGGCACGCUGACAUGUAGGUGAAGCCCCUGCGGGUGGAGCUGAAGUCAGUCGAAGAUACCAGCUGGCUGCAACUGUUUAUUAAAAACACAGCACUGUGCAAACACGAAAGUGGACGUAUACGGUGUGACGCCUGCCCGGUGCCGGAAGGUUAAUUGAUGGGGUUAUCCGUAAGGAGAAGCUCUUGAUCGAAGCCCCGGUAAACGGCGGCCGUAACUAUAACGGUCCUAAGGUAGCGAAAUUCCUUGUCGGGUAAGUUCCGACCUGCACGAAUGGCGUAAUGAUGGCCAGGCUGUCUCCACCCGAGACUCAGUGAAAUUGAACUCGCUGUGAAGAUGCAGUGUACCCGCGGCAAGACGGAAAGACCCCGUGAACCUUUACUAUAGCUUGACACUGAACAUUGAGCCUUGAUGUGUAGGAUAGGUGGGAGGCUUUGAAGCGUGGACGCCAGUCUGCGUGGAGCCAACCUUGAAAUACCACCCUUUAAUGUUUGAUGUUCUAACCUGGCGCCGUAAUCCGGCGUGGGGACAGUGUCUGGUGGGUAGUUUGACUGGGGCGGUCUCCUCCUAAAGAGUAACGGAGGAGCACGAAGGUUGGCUAAUCCUGGUCGGACAUCAGGAGGUUAGUGCAAUGGCAUAAGCCAGCUUGACUGCGAGCGUGACGGCGCGAGCAGGUGCGAAAGCAGGUCAUAGUGAUCCGGUGGUUCUGAAUGGAAGGGCCAUCGCUCAACGGAUAAAAGGUACUCCGGGGAUAACAGGCUGAUACCGCCCAAGAGUUCAUAUCGACGGCGGUGUUUGGCACCUCGAUGUCGGCUCAUCACAUCCUGGGGCUGAAGUAGGUCCCAAGGGUAUGGCUGUUCGCCAUUUAAAGUGGUACGCGAGCUGGGUUUAGAACGUCGUGAGACAGUUCGGUCCCUAUCUGCCGUGGGCGCUGGAGAAUUGAGGGGGGCUGCUCCUAGUACGAGAGGACCGGAGUGGACGCAUCACUGGUGUUCGGGUUGUCAUGCCAAUGGCAUUGCCCGGUAGCUACAUGCGGAAGAGAUAAGUGCUGAAAGCAUCUAAGCACGAAACUUGCCCCGAGAUGAGUUCUCCCUGAGACUUAGAGUCUCCUGAAGGAACGUUGAAGACGACGACGUUGAUAGGCCGGGUGUGUAAGCGCAGCGAUGCGUUGAGCUAACCGGUACUAAUGAACCGUGAGGCUUAACCUU
rnacentral:rRNA from 1 species